rnacentral:rRNA from 1 species
AGUGAACGCUGGCGGUAGGCCUAACACAUGCAAGUCGAACGGCAGCACAGUAAGAGCUUGCUCUUACGGGUGGCGAGUGGCGGACGGGUGAGGAAUACAUCGGAAUCUACUUUUUCGUGGGGGAUAACGUAGGGAAACUUACGCUAAUACCGCAUACGACCUACGGGUGAAAGCAGGGGAUCUUCGGACCUUGCGCGACUGAAUGAGCCGAUGUCGGAUUAGCUAGUUGGCAGGGUAAAGGCCCACCAAGGCGACGAUCCGUAGCUGGUCUGAGAGGAUGAUCAGCCACACUGGAACUGAGACACGGUCCAGACUCCUACGGGAGGCAGCAGUGGGGAAUAUUGGACAAAGGGCGCAAGCCUGAUCCAGCCAUACCGCGUGGGUGAAGAAGGCCUUCGGGUUGUAAAGCCCUUUUGUUGGGAAAGAAAAGCAGCAGGUUAAUACCCCGCUGUUCUGACGGUACCCAAAGAAUAAGCACCGGCUAACUUCGUG